UCUCCGUUGGUGAACCAGCGGAGGGAUCAUUACCGAGUUCCAGCACCUCCCAACCCUUGCGAACCGUACCCCAGUCUGUUCUCGUUGCUUCCGGCAGGCGGGGGGGGCCACCUGGCCCCUCCCCCUGCCGGGGGCGGAGGGCCCUCAGAACCUUUAUAUCUCAACCACUGAAGCCCGUCUGAGCAAAACAAAAAAUAAUCAAAACUUUCAACAACGGAUCUCUUGGCUCUG
rnacentral:misc_RNA from 1 species